AGUGAACGCUGGCGGUAGGCCUAACACAUGCAAGUCGAACGGCAGCACAGUAAGAGCUUGCUCUUACGGGUGGCGAGUGGCGGACGGGUGAGGAAUACAUCGGAAUCUACUUUUUCGUGGGGGAUAACGUAGGUAAACUUACGCUAAUACCGCAUCCGACCUACGGGUGAAAGCAGGGGAUCUUCGGACCUUUCGCGAUUGAAUGAGCCGAUGUCGGAUUAGCUAGUUGGCGGGUUAAAGGCCCACCAAGGCGACGAUCCGUAGCUGGUCUGAGAGGAUGAUCAGCCACACUGGAACUGAGACACGGUCCAGACUCCUAAGGGAGGCAGCAGUGGGGAAUAUUGGACAAUGGGCGCAAGCCUGAUCCAGCCAUACCGCGUGGGUGAAGAAGGCCUUCGGGCUGUAAAGCCCUUUUGUUGGGAAAGAAAAGCAGCAGGUUAAUACCCCGCUGUUCUGACGGUACCCAAAGAAUAAGCACCGGCUAACUUCGUG
rnacentral:rRNA from 1 species